GGUUAAGCGACUAAGCGUACACGGUGGAUGCCCUGGCAGUCAGAGGCGAUGAAGGGCGUGCUAAUCUGCGAUAAGCGCCGGUAAGGUGAUAUGAACCGUUAUAACCGGCGAUACCCGAAUGGGGAAACCCAGUGUGAUUCGUCACACUAUCAUUAACUGAAUCCAUAGGUUAAUGAGGCGAACCGGGGGAACUGAAACAUCUAAGUACCCCGAGGAAAAGAAAUCAACCGAGAUUCCCCCAGUAGCGGCGAGCGAACGGGGAGGAGCCCAGAGCCUGAAUCAGCAUGUGUGUUAGUGGAAGCGUCUGGAAAGGCGCGCGAUACAGGGUGACAGCCCCGUACACAAAAGCGCAUGUGCUGUGAGCUCGAUGAGUAGGGCGGGACACGUGGUAUCCUGUCUGAAUAUGGGGGGACCAUCCUCCAAGGCUAAAUACUCCUGACUGACCGAUAGUGAACCAGUACCGUGAGGGAAAGGCGAAAAGAACCCCGGCGAGGGGAGUGAAAAAGAACCUGAAACCGUGUACGUACAAGCAGUGGGAGCACAGGUUUACCUGUGUGACUGCGUACCUUUUGUAUAAUGGGUCAGCGACUUAUAUUCUGUAGCAAGGUUAACCGAAUAGGGGAGCCGGAGGGAAACCGAGUCUUAACCGGGCGUUAAGUUGCAGGGUAUAGACCCGAAACCCGGUGAUCUAGCCAUGGGCAGGUUGAAGGUUGGGUAACACUAACUGGAGGACCGAACCGACUAAUGUUGAAAAAUUAGCGGAUGACCUGUGGCUGGGGGUGAAAGGCCAAUCAAACCGGGAGAUAGCUGGUUCUCCCCGAAAGCUAUUUAGGUAGCGCCUCGUGAAUUCAUCUCCGGGGGUAGAGCACUGUUUCGGCUAGGGGGCCAUCCCGGCUUACCAACCCGAUGCAAACUGCGAAUACCGGAGAAUGUUAUCACGGGAGACACACGGCGGGUGCUAACGUCCGUCGUGAAGAGGGAAACAACCCAGACCGCCAGCUAAGGUCCCAAAGUCAUGGUUAAGUGGGAAACGAUGUGGGAAGGCCCAGACAGCCAGGAUGUUGGCUUAGAAGCAGCCAUCAUUUAAAGAAAGCGUAAUAGCUCACUGGUCGAGUCGGCCUGCGCGGAAGAUGUAACGGGGCUAAACCAUGCACCGAAGCUGCGGCAGCGACGCUUAUGCGUUGUUGGGUAGGGGAGCGUUCUGUAAGCCUGUGAAGGUGUGUCGUGAGGCAUGCUGGAGGUAUCAGAAGUGCGAAUGCUGACAUAAGUAACGAUAAAGCGGGUGAAAAGCCCGCUCGCCGGAAGACCAAGGGUUCCUGUCCAACGUUAAUCGGGGCAGGGUGAGUCGACCCCUAAGGCGAGGCCGAAAGGCGUAGUCGAUGGGAAACGGGUUAAUAUUCCCGUACUUGGUGUUACUGCGAAGGGGGGACGGAGAAGGCUAUGUUGGCCGGGCGACGGUUGUCCCGGUUUAAGCGUGUAGGUGUGUGUUCCAGGUAAAUCCGGUUCACUUUAACACUGAGGCGUGAUGACGAGGCACUACGGUGCUGAAGUAACAAAUGCCCUGCUUCCAGGAAAAGCCUCUAAGCAUCAGGUAACAUCAAAUCGUACCCCAAACCGACACAGGUGGUCAGGUAGAGAAUACCAAGGCGCUUGAGAGAACUCGGGUGAAGGAACUAGGCAAAAUGGUGCCGUAACUUCGGGAGAAGGCACGCUGACACGUAGGUGAAGUGAUUUACUCACGGAGCUGAAGUCAGUCGAAGAUACCAGCUGGCUGCAACUGUUUAUUAAAAACACAGCACUGUGCAAACACGAAAGUGGACGUAUACGGUGUGACGCCUGCCCGGUGCCGGAAGGUUAAUUGAUGGGGUCAGCGCAAGCGAAGCUCCUGAUCGAAGCCCCGGUAAACGGCGGCCGUAACUAUAACGGUCCUAAGGUAGCGAAAUUCCUUGUCGGGUAAGUUCCGACCUGCACGAAUGGCGUAAUGAUGGCCAGGCUGUCUCCACCCGAGACUCAGUGAAAUUGAACUCGCUGUGAAGAUGCAGUGUACCCGCGGCAAGACGGAAAGACCCCGUGAACCUUUACUAUAGCUUGACACUGAACAUUGAGCCUUGAUGUGUAGGAUAGGUGGGAGGCUUUGAAGUGUGGACGCCAGUCUGCAUGGAGCCGACCUUGAAAUACCACCCUUUAAUGUUUGAUGUUCUAACGUGGACCCGUUACCCGGGUUGCGGACAGUGUCUGGUGGGUAGUUUGACUGGGGCGGUCUCCUCCUAAAGAGUAACGGAGGAGCACGAAGGUUGGCUAAUCCUGGUCGGACAUCAGGAGGUUAGUGCAAUGGCAUAAGCCAGCUUGACUGCGAGCGUGACGGCGCGAGCAGGUGCGAAAGCAGGUCAUAGUGAUCCGGUGGUUCUGAAUGGAAGGGCCAUCGCUCAACGGAUAAAAGGUACUCCGGGGAUAACAGGCUGAUACCGCCCAAGAGUUCAUAUCGACGGCGGUGUUUGGCACCUCGAUGUCGGCUCAUCACAUCCUGGGGCUGAAGUAGGUCCCAAGGGUAUGGCUGUUCGCCAUUUAAAGUGGUACGCGAGCUGGGUUUAGAACGUCGUGAGACAGUUCGGUCCCUAUCUGCCGUGGGCGCUGGAGAACUGAGGGGGGCUGCUCCUAGUACGAGAGGACCGGAGUGGACGCAUCACUGGUGUUCGGGUUGUCAUGCCAAUGGCACUGCCCGGUAGCUAAAUGCGGAAGAGAUAAGUGCUGAAAGCAUCUAAGCACGAAACUUGCCCCGA
rnacentral:rRNA from 1 species